rnacentral:rRNA from 1 species
GACGAACGCUGGCGGCGUGCUUAACACAUGCAAGUCGAACGGAAAGGCCCUGCUAUUGUGGGGUGCUCGAGUGGCGAACGGGUGAGUAACACGUGAGUAACCUGCCCUUGACUUUGGGAUAACUUCAGGAAACUGGGGCUAAUACCGGAUAGGAGUUCCUGCUGCAUGAUGUGGGUUGGAACGUUUCGGCGGUUGGGGAUGGACUGGCGGCUUAUCAGCUUGUUGGUGGGGUAGUGGCUUACCAAGGCUUUGACGGGUAGCCGGCCUGAGAGGGUGACCGGACACAUCGGAACUGAGAUACGGCCCAGACUCCUACGGGAGGCAGCAGAGGGGAAGAUUGCACAGUGGGCGGAAGCCUGAUGCAGCAACGCCGCGUGCGGGAUGACGGCCUUCGGUUUGUAAACCGCUUUCGUCUGUGACGAAGAGUGAGUGACGGUAAUGGGUAAAGAAGCACCGGCUAACUACGUG